CUAAUCAUGCAAGUCGAGCGAGGUUCUUCGGAACCUAGCGGCGGACUGCUGAGUAACACGUGGGUAACCUGCCUGUAAGACCGGGAUAACUUCGGGAAACCGAAGCUAAUACCGGAUACUUUCGAGCAUCGCAUGAUGCUUGAUGGAAAGACGGCUUCGGCUGUCACUUACAGAUGGACCCGCGUCGCAUUAGCUAGUUGGUGAGGUAACGGCUCACCAAGGCGACGAUGCGUAGCCGACCUGAGAGGGUGAUCGGCCACACUGGGACUGAGACACGGCCCAGACUCCUACGGGAGGCAGCAGUAGGGAAUCUUCGGCAAUGGGCGAAAGCCUGACCGAGCAACGCCGCGUGAGCGAUGAAGGCCUUCGGGUCGUAAAGCUCUGUUGUUAAGGAAGAACAAGUACGAGAGUAACUGCUCGUACCUUGACGGUACUUAACGAGAAAGCCACGGCUAACUACGUGCCAGCAGCCGCGGUAACGUAGGGUGGGAAGCGUUAUCCGGAAUUAUUGGGCCGUAAGCGCGCGCAGGCGGUUUCUUAAGUCUGAUGUGAAAGCCCACGGCUCAACCGUGGAGGGUCAUUGGAAACUGGGAAACUUGAGUGCAGAAGAGGAAAGCGGAAUUCCACGUGUAGCGGUGUAAUGCGUAGAGAUGUGGAGGAACACCAGUGGCGAAGGCGGCUUUCUGGUCUGUAACUGACGCUGAGGCGCAAAAGCGUGGGGAGCAGACAGGAUUAGAUACCCUGGUAGUCCACACCGUAAAUUAUUUAUGUUAUGUGUUAACUG
rnacentral:rRNA from 1 species